rnacentral:rRNA from 1 species
GACGUAGGGCGCGAGCGUUGUCCGGAUUUAUUGGGCGUAAAGAGCUCGUAGGCGGUUUGUCGCGUCGGAUGUGAAAGCCCGGGGCUUAAACCCCGGGUCUGCAUUCGAUACGGGCAGACUGGAGUGUGGUAGGGGAGAUCGGAAUUCCUGGUGUAGCGGUGGAAUGCGCAGAUAUCAGGAGGAACACCGGUGGCGAAGGCGGGUCUCUGGGCAGUAACUGACGCUGAGGAGCGAAAGCGUGGGGAGCGAACAGG